AGCUGGGUGUCUCUGUCACUAAAGAAUACCAGAGGAAGCCAACAGAGCCAGCAUGCUCACCAGGGAGAGAGUAAACAAACCCAUAAACAUACACAGGAGUGACCAGGCCAGAGAUGGAUUUGAAGGUGAGACUGGAAAUUAACAUUACAUUGCAGAUCACAGUGGAGGCUAGUAAUUCCAGGUCAGAGCCAGCCCUGCAACUCUGGCACGUGUCACCCACAGUGGCUUUGCAUGUCAUCUGCAAACCCACUAAAUGAAAUAAGGACAGCCUCACAACCUUCACAUGAGAAAACAGAAGACUAAAGAGGCAGAGGUGAUGUGCUGAGCCACCUGGAAGCAGGGUCUCUGAACUCACAGGCAUGGGAGCCUCCCCUGCACUCUGCUGCCCUUGCUGCUCACAAGUACUUUCCAUGCCACACACAGAUACUGUCAUAUUUUCAGAAGAUGUCCCAAGCCUAAGGCUGAGGAGGAAAAAAACAAUGGGGAACACAGAAAAGGAGAACCAGCACCUGGCCAUGCCCAGCCUGGAGUCCAGCUACUUCCAGACUCAUUGCCACCUGAUUGGUGGACCACCCAUACACCACCAUUUCUUUCUGCUGAUUUGGAUCGGAUCUUCGCACCACACCAUAAACAACACCCUGAGGAAGUUUCCUGCACCUCCGGACAGCGACUGCCCACGACAACUUUCACGCUGCUGCCAUGGGAGCUGCCAUCUUGAGCAAGCCGGAACAAAGUGACCAGUGAUCCUUAAUAUACAAUUAAGAGCCCACAGCUAAUUCAUCUGAGCUGUUCAUACAAUUUAAGGGACAGAUGUGUACACAGGGAGAACUCCAUGUGCCACAUGAAGAGUACAGUGAUGCAGCCACAAGCCAAGGACUGCAGGAGGCACCAGAAGCUACAGGAGGCAAAGAAAGACUCUUUCCUUGAGCCUCCAGAGUACAGACCUGCCAACACCUUGAUCCCAGAUUUCUAGUGUCCAGAAUCACGAGGGAAUAAACUUCUACUGUUCAAGUCCUACA